rnacentral:ncRNA from 2 species
AGUUAACGAAGAGGUGCAUGUCUCAUCAGUAAUCAUUGUUAGGCUGGCAAAAGCUGGAGCAUUGAUGAAAGGGUGCCGUGCCGAAACAAAACUGGUUUGCCCCAGUGGCGUUGGGGGAUCGUUGAAGAAGCGAUUCACUGUCGUGGAAACACGGAGCGCUUCUAGAUAA